rnacentral:rRNA from 1 species
CGGAGGGUGCAAGCGUUAUCCGGAUUUACUGGGUUUAAAGGGUGUGUAGGCGGGUCUUUAAGUCAGUGGUGAAAUCUCCGAGCUCAACUUGGAAACUGCCAUUGAUACUAUUGAUCUUGAAUUUUGUUGAGGUAGGCGGAAUAAGUCAUGUAGCGGUGAAAUGCAUAGAUAUGACUUAGAACACCAAUUGCGAAGGCAGCUUGCUAAACAAAUAUUGACGCUGAGGCACGAAAGCGUGGGGAUCAAACAGGAUUAGAUACCCUGGUAGUCCACGCCCUAAACGAUGAUUACUCGACAUACGCGAUACACAGUGUGUGUCUGAGCGAAAGCAUUAAGUAAUCCACCUGGGAAGUACGACCGCAAGGUUG